rnacentral:rRNA from 1 species
AUACGUAGGGUGCGAGCGUUGUCCGGAAUUACUGGGCGUAAAGAGCUCGUAGGUGGUUUGUCGCGUCGUCUGUGAAAUUCCGGGGCUUAACUCCGGGCGUGCAGGCGAUACGGGCAUAACUUGAGUACUGUAGGGGAGACUGGAAUUCCUGGUGUAGCGGUGAAAUGCGCAGAUAUCAGGAGGAACACCGGUGGCGAAGGCGGGUCUUGGGGCAGUAACUGACGCUGAGGAGCGAAAGCAUGGGUAGCGAACAGGAUUAUAUCCCCUGGUAGUCCAUGCCGUAAACGGUGGGCGCUAGGUGUAGGGGUCUUCCACGACUUCUGUGCCGUAGCUAACGCAUUAAGCGCCCCGCCUGGGGAGUACGGCCGCAAGGCUAAAACUCAAAUGAAUUGACGGGG